AUUAAGCCAUGCAUGUCUCAGUACAUGCCGUAUUAAGAUCAAACCGCGAAUGGCUCAUUAAAUAAGUUAUGGUUUCUUAGAUCGUACCCACAUUAUACUUGGAUAACUGUGAUACUUCUAGAGCUAAUACAUGCAAAACAGAGUUCCGGCCAGAGAUGGCAGGAACGCUUUUUAUUAGAUCAAAACCAAUCGGUGGCGGGCGGUUCCGUUCGUCCAUCGUUUGCUUUGGUGA
rnacentral:ncRNA from 1 species